GGUAAAAUGGCUGAGGAAUAGGCAGUAGAUUGUAAAUCUAUAGACGAAAAUUUUUUUCUUUUACCA
rnacentral:tRNA from 1 species